CUGAGUUAGGGUCUCGCUAGGCCCGACCUCCCAACCCUUGUGUCUACCUAACCUAUCGUUGCUUCGGUGGGACGGAUCUGGCCCCUCCCGGGGACGGACCCGCCGGAGGGGUGAACAGCCACCCCUUGGGAGCGUUUCCCACCGAUGGCCCACAUCAAACUCUUGUACCAAAAACCUGUCGUCUAAAGUAUUGAUAUAUGAAUCAAAAACA
rnacentral:misc_RNA from 1 species